UACGAAGGGGGCUAGCGUUGUUCGGAAUUACUGGGCGUAAAGCGCACGUAGGCGGGUUGUUAAGUCAGGGGUGAAAUCCUGGAGCUCAACUCCAGAACUGCCUUUGAUACUGGCAAUCUAGAGUCCGGAAGAGGUGAGUGGAACUCCUAGUGUAGAGGUGGAAUUCGUAGAUAUUAGGAAGAACACCAGUGGCGAAGGCGGCUCACUGGUCCGGUACUGACGCUGAGGUGCGAAAGCGUGGGGAGCAAACGGG
rnacentral:rRNA from 1 species